AGAGAGAGACAUGCGCGCAUAUCAAUAAGCGGAGGAAAAGAAACUAACAAGGAUUCCCUUAGUAACGGCGAGUGAAGCGGGAAGAGCUCAAAUUUGAAAUCUUCAAGGUUUUACCUUGACGAAUUGUAGUUUAAAGAAGUGUUUUCUGCUGAAGUUUUGGUAAAAGUUCUUUGGAAUUAGGACAUCAUAGAGGGUGAGAAUCCCGUAUUUGACCAUUAUUUUCAGCUUUGUGAUACGCUUUCAAAGAGUCGGAUUGUUUGGGAAUGCAGUCCAAAAUGGGUGGUAAAUUUCAUCUAAAGCUAAAUAUUGGCGAGAGACCGAUAGCGAACAAGUACCGUGAGGGAAAGAUGAAAAGAACUUUGAAAAGAGAGUUAAACAGUACGUGAAAUUGUCAAAAGGGAAGCGUUUGACACCAGUGUUGUUUUCUCGAAAAUCAAUUAAAAAUGGCUCGAUUUUGUAUUGCUGAGACCUUAAAAGCUCACUGUACAUUUUUCGUGUCUUUUUUAAUGCACUUUUCGUUCAACAAGUCAACAUCAGUUUCUUUUGUUGUAAAAGGGUCAUUGGAAGGUGGCUUUCUUUUCGGAGAAAGUGUUUAUAGCCUUUGGCCUCUGCAAUCGGAGAGACUGAGGUCUGUAGCGUAGACUCUUCGGGGUUAGAUACAUUUGUGCUAAGUUAUAGCUUUUUAUAGACAACUUGUUGACUAUAAUUAGUCUUGUAGCUUACUCGCUUAUGCUAUUUUACCUACGCUUAGGAUGUUGAGUCGUAGAGCACGCAG
rnacentral:rRNA from 1 species